GACGAACGCUGGCGGCGUGCCUAAUACAUGCAAGUUGAGCGAUGAAGAUUGGUGCUUGCACCAAUUUGAAGAGCAGCGAACGGGUGAGUAACGCGUGGGGAAUCUGCCUUUGAGCGGGGGACAACAUUUGGAAACGAAUGCUAAUACCGCAUAAUAACUUUAAACAUAAGUUUUAAGUUUGAAAGAUGCAAUUGCAUCACUCAAAGAUGAUCCCGCGUUGUAUUAGCUAGUUGGUGAGGUAAAGGCUCACCAAGGCGAUGAUACAUAGCCGACCUGAGAGGGUGAUCGGCCACAUUGGGACUGAGACACGGCCCAAACUCCUACGGGAGGCAGCAGUAGGGAAUCUUCGGCAAUGGACGAAAGUCUGACCGAGCAACGCCGCGUGAGGGAAGAAGGUUUUCGGAUCGUAAAACUCUGUUGGUAGAGAAGAACGUUGGUGAGAGUGGAAAGCCCAUCAAGUGACGGUAACUACCCAGAAAGGGACGGCUAACUACGUG
rnacentral:rRNA from 1 species